rnacentral:lncRNA from 1 species
UGGAGACAGGAUCCUCACCCUGGGCCAGACAGGCUGUAUUUGCACCCAAACUCUGGUGUUUGCUAUGGUUUUGUGCAUACUCAGAUAGACUCACUCCAUCGGAGGCACAUUGUGUGUGAUGUGACAGAGAUGGAGCCUGGCCGACAGCAACCCUGCUGAGCACCUACAGCCUGCCCCUUCUUUCCUCCCAGAUGCUGUGUAUGGUGCCUUCAUUCUGCUGAUCUGUCUGUGUGAGCCAAGGCUGUAUUUUAAUGAGCAAAGUUUUGAAUGGUGUCUUCAUACCUGUUACGGUAGAUGGUGUCCACACUGGAGGUGCCACUGAGCCUUGUGGCCUACAGGACUCGCCUUGAGUGGCUGUCUGCAUCUGUGCCCACACCAGUGCUAUACUUGGCUGGCUGCACACAGCUGCACACAGCCUUCUGUCUUAGCUGUGUCCUGUCGACUGACACUUAAGAUGCCUUUGGUGG